rnacentral:rRNA from 1 species
GACGAACGCUGGCGGCGUGCCUAAUACAUGCAAGUCGAGCGAAGUUUUUCUGGUUCUUGCACUAGAAAAACUUAGCGGCGAACGGGUGAGUAACACGUAAAGAACCUGCCUCAUAGACUGGGACAACUAUUGGAAACGAUAGCUAAUACCGGGUAACAGUAUUUCUCGCAUGAGAGAUGUUUAAAAGUUGGGUAUGCUAACACUAUGAGAUGGCUUUGCGGUGCAUUAGCUAGUUGGUUGGGUAAAGGCCCACCAAGGCGACGAUGCAUAGCCGACCUGAGAGGGUGAUAGGCCACCCUGGGACUGAGACACGGCCCAGACUCCUACGGGAGGCAGCAGUAGGGAAUCGUCCGCAAUGGGCGAAAGCCUGACGGAGCAACGCCGCGUGAGUGAAGAAGGAUUUCGGUUCGUAAAGCUCUGUUGUUAGGGAAGAAUGGAUAUGUAGUAACUAUACAUGUAAGAGACGGUACCUAACCAGAAAGCCACGGCUAACUACGUG